UCAAACUCCUUGUGCUGCCUCAUCAACCUCACAUGAAGUAUCACCAACCAGUUGGCAUUGCCAAUGCCAACUAUAGUAGAAGUGGAACAUGGAACUAUAUAAGUUACUUGUAACAAAUAUCUAAGCAAGAUUAAAUCCAAGAUAUGAUCAACCUUGUCAAGAUCUGAACUACAACACAACAUUUGAAAUAAAACACUUGUCAGAUAAUCACCAUAAGAGCAUGGCGAUCAAUACUAUCUCAUGACUAAGAGGCACAAUUUAUUUCUACUAAUGCAAAGUGAAAAUGGAAAUAUUGCAAUGGCAUUGGAAGAGAAGUCAAGAGAUAAAUUUAAGAAAAAGAAGCAAAUUUGAUACAUGUAGAUGUACAGACCAUAUAUAGAGGUAUCGGGAAGCAUACAAUAUCUGAAUCUCAAUACAUCUUACUACAUAUGGCCAACACCAACUCAUGCUACGGCAUCAAGGCCAUCUGCCUCCCAAAAGAAAUGUCAAGGAAUGAAGUUAUUGCACUUACAUCUGCAAGAGAACCUUAAACAGUUAGCAUUUUGAUUAUUGUCAUACUGAACAUACAGAAAAUAAGAAGCUUGAUGCUCACCAAAAUGUAUUCACUCCAAUAGCUUUGCCGCAGACUUAAGGUGAAACCUAGACUAUCAUCCUUAAUUACAGUCUCCCAGACGAAUCAUCUUAUGUUUCAUUGGAAACAUCAAUAUUUCUCAUAUGAAGUAUAACUGCUACAACUGAUCUGGAUAUAGAUUUGUGUACCCUAAACAAUUUAAUAUGCAACUCGUUAUUUCUGAAAUUGGUAUUUUUCAAUGGUUUUCUGUAUAACACAAAACGACCCAGACUUGUUUUUCCUCAUUGAUUACAACUAACUACAACAUCAUUAAUUACUGCUACCUCAGUAGUACAACUUGAUCUGAGUAUAGCUAAUGAAAAGGUCGUCUACCAUAAGGCAAGUUGCCAAGUUACACCUGUCUGAGUUAGUCAGUAUAUCCUGCAAGUUAACAGAAUGCCCGCGGGGCAUAUGAUCGAGAAUGUAUGCUCCACAACCUGAACAUAUAGUGAGUAAGAAAAGAUGUUAAAUUACUGAAGAACAUCAUACGUGGUUCUGAAUAAGCGACUUUCCAUGUCCUCUACAACUCCAAACUCACUGAAUCAUUUGGUCGAGCAGCUAGAGAACAAAAAGGAAUUCUAAAGUGUAACUGUAAUCCAGUAAGCACGGGAGUCUAGGGGCCUCUUUGAUUUGUAGGAUUUCCAAAACGCGGGAAUAGGAAGAACAUGGGAUUAGAGUGGAAUGUCGUCUUGAAUCCUACAGGAUGGUACGAGUGUUUGAUUGUGCAUAGAAAAAACGCAGAAUUCUUUCAAAGGGGUUUGAGUGGAUGGGAUGUUUCCUAUGAAAUCUAGUGCAAAUGAAUCAUAUGGAAAAAUUCCUAUGGUUUACAAUCCUACGAAUCAAACAACCAAGAUAGGAAAAAUUCCUAAGGAUUAGAAUCCUCCAAAAUUCCUUCGAGAAUCCUUUGAAUCAAAGAAGCCCUAGAUGGAUACCUUGACGCAUUGAGUAGAUCAGCCUUAGA
rnacentral:lncRNA from 1 species